ACCAGGUCAGGACACGGUAAGGAUUGACGGACUGAAGGCUCUUUCUCGAUUCCGUGGAAAGUGGUGCAUGGCCGUUUUUGGUUGGUGGAUCGAUCCGUCUGGUUAAUUCCGUUAACGAACGAGACCUCGGCACUCCGAAUAGCGCGGCGGACGUCGCGGCCUCCGGGCCGUCUUCCGCACGAGCUUCUUAGAGGGACCGUCCCCCCGCCGGGGAAGGAGGUGCGAGGCAACGACAGGUCUGUGAUGCCCUUAGAUGUUCUGGGCCGCACGCGCAUUACACUGACGCGUCCAACGGGUGACUCCCGACCCGAAGGGGCCGGGGAAUCCGCAAGGCGCGUCGUGAUGGGGAUUGAACGUUGCAAUUGUUGUUCACGAACGAGGAAUUCCUAGUAGGCGCGGGUCAUCAACCCGCGCCGAUUACGUCCCUGCCCUUUGUACACACC
rnacentral:rRNA from 1 species